ACCCCCGACAAUGCCUUGUGAACAAUUCUUUGUAUUUUGUAAACCAUGGUUUCACCAAUGAUUUGACAUGUAUACUGAUGAACACAACAAAAAAAUUCUUUUAUCUUCUAUUUGAUCAACUGACAAACGUGUAGACAUUGACUGUGUAUAUAAGAAGAGAGCUGUGUCAUGUCAGAGCACACUCUACAUCUACCAGUCUCAGUAACUCCGGUCGAUCCACCUUGAAAGCAAAAGUUAAAAUGAAGGCCGCCAUCUUUGCACUUCUAUUUGUUGUCCUCUUGGUGAGUGUGAUCCUGGUCAAGGACGUUGAAUGCCAUUGUCACAAAAGCAGCUCAGGAUUAGGCUCCGCGCUGCCCUUAUUACUGGCAGCUGGCGUCCUUGGCAACGGAGCCGCAGCUGGUGGCGCCAUUGCAGGAAGAUAAAGGAUAACCACUUGGUCUGCAGGCGAUGGACUGAGCUCAGGCUUCUUCUGUAGACUCGCCAAUCACAUCUCAGGACUUUGUCUACUGGUCUUUAUAAGCAUUGUAUUUUUCUAAUGAAAUAAAGUUUCUAAUUAACUCUAAA